rnacentral:tRNA from 1 species
GCGGGGGUUCCCGAGCCAGGUCUAAGGGGUAGGACUCAGAAUCCUAUGCUGUAGAGCUUCAUGGGUUCAAAUCCCAUCCCCCGCACCA